AUCGAUAAAGCUAGAACGGGGUGGUUGAUGGAAUUUUCCUGAACAUUCUGUGCAUGUGGUAGUGAACACGUACGCCACGGGUAUAAAUACGACCACACAGCGACCAGGAAAAUCAUUCGUAAAGAAAAAGUCAACUGGUGUGUGCCUCCAAGGAAAAUAAAGUGAAAAAGUUUAAAGUGUAAAUAAUUGAAAUAAAUAGUGAAGAAAGUUAAAAAAGUGUUUUUUUUGUGUAAAAGAAAAGUGUGUGAGCCAUUAUUAAAAAAAUGGCUUUGCGUUGCAAAUUAUUGCGAAAUGAGCAUUUUUGCUCCACAAAUAGUAGGCUGAAAUGAUAGACCAGCUGGAAGGAAAAUGCAGUAGAGCAUUAUGAAAUUGAAAGGAGAAAUUUGCUGGUGCAAGGAAGAUUUUUGCUGCAGAGUUUUUAGUCAGAAAGAAAAUACAAAUGGGCUGAAAUUUGCUGAAGAGGUUUUUCCAAGCCGAGAAAAUGAUGAGGUUGCUUUCUAAGAAAGAUAUUUUAAAGGACCAACGUUGAGACAUCCACUACUGGGUGUAUAUAAGAAAGUUUUUUCUCCACGAUCCCGUAGAGAUUUUCCCUACCAAGAGGUCUUUUAAUGAGGAGUGUAUAUAUAUAGAGCAGGGUAAUAGAGUUGUGUGCUCCGGAAGCCUCUACUGACUAGCAAAUUUUAUAUCUCUUUGGGCGGCCUUAUUCUCAUAAAACAUUAAAAGAUUUUGUUUGCUAAGUCAGUCUCGCCCUAGUCUCUCGUAUCUCGUUUAAAAUCCAAAAAUUAACAACAGAAAUACAAAUUACAACGAUACAAGCCAAUAACAUAUAAAAAAUCGUAGAAUAAAAAAAGGUAAAAAAUAACCACCAAUCAACAACAUUUCCCUAAGCGAAAUUUGUACAGAAAAAAAUAAGCGAUCAGAUACAGAAAAUGUAUUGAAAAAGCCCUCUUUUUAAGCGAAUAAAAAAGCGAAAUUAUACCCAAUAAAACUUAAAAGACAGAAAUGCCAAAAAAUAAUAAAGCUCAGUAAACAGAACGAGAAGACAGACAGGCAGGCAGGUCGGCACAAAUAAAUAAAUGUUUGUAAAGAGAAAAUCAGGCAGGCAGAGUAUGUAAGACCGUGCGUUCCGUUCGUUCGUACACUAAAAGUCAGUCAUAAUAUCAUACGAUGAUGAUAACGAAAGAGAAGACUACUACUUCCUAGACCAUAAAUCAGCGGCCAAAAUAUAUACCUCUAUGUUAUAUGUAUAUGUAUGUUUUAAGACAAACAAUUUAACAAAAGCGCCCAAAAAUGGUUUUUUUUUACAAAUCACUCACAUUUAAAACAUCAUCAUUAAAUACUAUUAUUUUGUUUUUUAAAAUAAUGUUUAUAUAAAUAGAAAACAAAAGCGUUAUUUUCACAAAAAAAAGAAGAAAAAAGGGCCAGUGUUAGUUAGUGUCUAUACACUUGAAUACACUUAAAAACCCUAAAAAAAUAUUUCCAAAAAAAAAAAUUAAAAAAAAAAUAACUGAAAAUACGCUAAAAUUAAUAACACCAACCAAUUUAAGUUGUAAGGUUUUUUAAAUCAUUCUAAGAUUUUUAACCACCAAAAACUCAUCUAUUCUAAGCUUUUUUUGUAGAUUUUAUUAAAAAAUAAUUGUUUUCUUAAUUUAUAAGCAUUAGUUUUGAUGUUUUUCAUUUUCUGUUGUUUUUAAUACCACAUAAAUACAAAAGAAACAAAAUUCUGUUUUUGUUUUUCCAAACAAAAUUGUUGAAAAAAAAUUUAUAAAUUUAACAAAAAAAAAGAUAAAAAAAAAUUUAAAACAAGCUAAAGAUAUUUAAUAAAAUUUGAAUAAUUUUUUCUAUACCACCUUGAAAA